rnacentral:rRNA from 1 species
AUUGAACGCUGGCGGCAGGCCUAACACAUGCAAGUCGAACGAGUGGCGGACGGGUGAGUCAUGUCUGGGACACAGCCUGAUGGAGGGGGCUACCUACGGGAACCGGUAGCUAAUACCGCAUACCUUCCGAUGUGCCCAGAUGGGAUUAGCUAGUUGGUGGGGUAACGGCUCACCAAGGCGACGAUCCCUAGCUGGUCUGAGAGGAUGACCAGCCACACUGGAACUGAGACACGGUCCAGACUCCUACGGGAGGCAGCAGUGGGGAAUAUUGCACAAUGGGCGCAAGCCUGAUGCAGCCAUGCCGCGUGUAUGAAGAAGGCCUUCGGGUUGUAAAGGACUUUCAGCGGGGAGGCGUUACCCGAAGAAGAAGCACCGGCUAACUCCGUGCCAGCAGCCGCGGUAAUUC